rnacentral:tRNA from 1 species
GUGGGUAUAGCUCAGUGGUUAGAGUACAUGCUUAGUAAGCACCAUGUUCUGGGUUCAAUCUCCAGUACCUCCA